UGGAAACGGAGCUUAACACUGCAGAUGUCACGAGGAAACACCCCGUUUCUCGCUGAUUUCACUGUUUUCAGGAAUGGUUUAAUGUCUUCGAAAAAGUCCGUUAGCAUUUCUACCGUUUUCAGACGACGUAUCGUCAGAAAACUGUUCUGCGAUUUCAAGAGUGACAAAAUAAUCCUUCUACAACAGAAGGGAGUGUCCAAGAUUUCAAUAUUUCUGAAGGGAGCUGCUGACAGAGAUGUAGGAAGCGCUGAAAAGAUUCUUCAGUGCUGAUGGCCUGCUGCAUCCAGCAGAGUCGAAGUGAACCUACUGUAAGACAACAUCUCCAAGACGCUAUUGACCACAAGACUAGUACAGUUAUUAGAAACUGCACAGCACAGGACUUGCAGGACUUGUGAGGACUUCAGAUGAUACCAGUACUCAAAAGACCUUAGAUGAUGGCAACUAUAGAUGGACAUACAAACUACCGCCACUGCAAAAAAGAUUCUAAUUUGAAAGAAGUUUAUAAUGCAUGUUCGCUACUCCCAAUUCAGAAGACUGAAUCAGCCUGUGUAUCUGAAUGUUUCUCAUACUCACUCCUCUCUGCCGCGUCUGAAUUUAGCUGUCAGUUAUAAACGUCAAAAUUAAAAGAAAUAAACAUUUGAAAUAUAUCAGUCUAUGUGUAAUGAAUAAAUAUAAUAUACAAGUUUCACUUUUUUAAUGGAAUUAGAGAAAUAAAUCAACUUUUUGAUGAUAUUCUAAUUAUAUGACCAGCACCUGUAUAUCAUUGCUCUUUUGUUGAUUUUGAUUGCUUCCAUUGUCCUCAUUUGUAAGUUGCUUUGGAUAAAAGUGUCUGCUAAAUGUAAAUGUAAUGUUAAUGUGUAUUUAACUAUAUUUAUAAAUAUUUAUCUGUAUUUUUUAUUUUGUAAUAAUGUAAAUGUAUUUGUUUUAUAUAUAUAUACACACAUGCAGUUGUAUUCAUGUAUGUAUAUUAAUUUGUCUAAUUUUUAUAUUUUAAUAAAGCAGUUUAAAC